rnacentral:ncRNA from 1 species
UAAAACACUGUGAGAAAGAAAGUAGAACUGCACAAUUUUCUAAAAGAGAGUCUUGGUAGCUGAAAAGAGACGAAAAUAGGUAGUUUGAAAAUGGCUUUUGAGUGGAUUCUUCGAAUAAUUAGGAGAAUACGGGAUGUUCCGUUAAACAACAGCAAGUCUCCAAACGAUUGGGUACUUGUCAAGGAAGGGCUUGUGAGAGCUCUUUAAAGUAAGGUGGUAACACAUGUAACUAUGUCCUUAGG